rnacentral:rRNA from 1 species
GUAGGUGGCAAGCGUUGUCCGGGAAUUAUUGGGGCGUAAAGCGCGCGCAGGCGGUUCUUUAAGUCUGAUGUGAAGGGCCCACGGGCUCAACCGUGGAGGGUCAUUGGAAACUGGAGAACUUGAGUACAGAAGAGGAAAGCGGAAUUCCACGUGUAGCGGUGAAAUGCGUAGAGAUGUGGAGGAACACCAGUGGCGAAGGCGGCUUUCUGGUCUGUAACUGACGCUGAGGCGCGAAAGCGUGGGGAGCAGACAGGAUUAGAUACCCUGGUAGUCCACGCCGUAAACGAUGAGUGCUAAGUGUUAGGGGGUUUCCGCCCCUUAGUGCUGCAGCUAACGCAUUAAGCACUCCGCCUGGGGAGUACGGCCGCAAAGGCUG